GAUCCACUGAGAUUCAGCC
rnacentral:snRNA from 1 species